rnacentral:rRNA from 1 species
UCCAGUAGGGCCCUCCCCGGCCUCAGCACCGGAACAGCGCUCAAAGAUUAAGCCAUGCAUGUCUAAGUAUAAGCUGCUUAUACUGUGAAACUGCGAAUGGCUCAUUAAAUCAGUUAUAGUUUAUUUGAUGGUACCUUACUACUCGGAUAACCGUAGAUUUAUUGCGGUUUAGAGGGGACUCCCCUAGUGAGAGGGGGGGCUUCAGGCCUCCUCGCUUGCGACACUGUCAAAUUGCUCGGACCUCCUGCUAUGCGUCGAGUACCGCCCUCCCCCCUAAAGGGGGGUGUGGCACCCAGCUGAAAGGCUGGGGUGUGGUGACAAUCUCCGACGAUAGGGACAAUGAGCAGCCAAGCCCUACAGGUGAAAGCAGAAAGUCUGUGUUUACAUGGAUGAAAAGCCUAUGGGUGCAGUUCACAGACUAAAUGGCGGUGGGUCUCUUGAAAGAAGGAGGCUUAAGACAUAGUCGGCCCCCAUCGAGAGGUGGACUCUAGGAGGAAUGGCAAAACACGCCUGGAGAGCCUAGAGUGGCACGGCAGAACCAUAUAGCACUUGGGGCAACCCAAGCGCCGGCCCCUUUUGUAGCCCAAGGCCGCUGCCUGCUGGAACGAGCGAGUAAAUCUAGAGCUAAUACGUGCGUAAAUCCCGACUUCUGGAAGGGACGUAUUUAUUAGAUAAAAGACCGACCGGCUUCGGCCGCCCCUCGGUGAAUCAUGAUAACUUCACGAAUCGCAUGGCCUUGUGCCGGCGAUGUUUCAUUCAAAUUUCUGCCCUAUCAACUUUCGAUGGUAGGAUAGAGGCCUACCAUGGUGGUAACGGGUGACGGAGAAUUAGGGUUCGAUUCCGGAGAGGGAGCCUGAGAAACGGCUACCACAUCCAAGGAAGGCAGCAGGCGCGCAAAUUACCCAAUCCCGACACGGGGAGGUAGUGACAAGAAAUAACAAUACCGGGCUCAUUCGAGUCUGGUAAUUGGAAUGAGAACAAUCUAAACCCCUUAUCGAGGAUCCAUUGGAGGGCAAGUCUGGUAAAACUGCUGUUGCCAGAGAUAGUAGGGCGCCUGUUGGCGUUAUGCCUGCUAGUCGAGCAGCCUGGUACAUUGAUCGGGCUGGCUGCCGGCAAGACGACCUGGUACGGGGAAAGCCUUCAACCCAUUUCUGUGGGAUUGGUUAAUCCCGUGGCGAGUCUGUGAAGAGCGAUCUUUACAAGACCGUCGUAACGCACGGUAAGGCGUCGGCCUGUCUCAGUUUUAUUAUUGAGUGGGCUUAAGGGACGUGCUAAACCCACCCGAUGAGAAAGGGUGUUUCAGACGCUAGCUCCCGAUCAGCGAAUGUCUGCGAGGACUGUAGUUCAGAGAGGAAAUGCUCUGAUCUGUCCGGUAGGUAGGCAAUCGCAUGAUUGUUUGCACUUGGCCAGCAGCCGCGGUAAUUCCAGCUCCAAUAGCGUAUAUUUAAGUUGCUGCAGUUAAAAAGCUCGUAGUCGGUUUUCGGGCGGGCUGCGCCGGUCUGCCUUUGGUAUGCACUGGCGUGACCCGCUUUUCUGCCGGGGACGUGCUGCUGGGCUUUACUGUCCGGCACACGGAGUCGGCGCUGUUACCUUGAAGUUACUUGAGGACAACAGCGGGCCUUAAAAGGGUGUCUCCCGCUAGUGGGGCUGCUUUGCUUGUUUGCACGCAGACUCGCAACACCGUCCAAUUGCUCGGAAAUCCUGUCAGGUCAGCAGUACCGCCUCUCGUCUGGAAACAGGCUCGAGGCACCGUGGGGAAACUCGCGGGUAUGGUAACAAUCUGCUGAAUAGGGACAAUGAGCAGCCAAGCCCUACGGGACGUUCGUAGUCCUAUGGGUGCAGUUCACAGACUAGAUGUCGGUGGGUCUCUCCUGGAGGCUUAAGAUAUAGUCGGCCCGCGCCGAGAGGCGAGCCCUUUGGAGGAACCUUGGUGAUUAAACCACCUUGGGGAGAGCUGAAGGGGGCUGGGAGUCAUAGUCGAAAACGACGGCCCGCUUUUCCCGAAGCGGGCCUCCCAGCUGGAUGUGCGGAGUAAAUUGGAGUGUUCAAAGCAGGCAUACGCUCUGAACAUAUUAGCAUGGAAUAACGAUAUAGGACUCUGGCCUAUUCGUUGGUCUGUGGGACUGGAGUAACGACCAAUGGGGGCAGUCGGGGGCAUUCGUAUUUCGUUGUCAGAGGUGAAAUUCUUGGAUUUACGAAAGACGAACUGCUGCGAAAGCGUUUGCCAAGGAUGCUUUCGUCGAUCAAGAACGAAAGUUGGGGGCUCGAAGACGAUUAGAUACCGUCCUAGUCUCAACCAUAAACGAUGCCGACUAGGGAUCGGCGGAUGUUCUUUUGAUGACUCCGCCGGCACCUCAUGAGAAAUCAAAGUGUUUGGGUUCCGGGGGGAGUAUGGUCGCAAGGCUGAAACUUAAAGGAAUUGACGGAAGGGCACCACCAGGCGUUAUACUGAUUAGUUUGCUCUAGCGCCAGCGGGCUUGAAAAGAGCGCCGCUAGUCUCUCAUGUUGGAGGCGACACCGUCAAAUUGCCGGGAACUCCUGUCACGCCAACGGUACCGCCCUUGGGUCGAAAGGCUCACAGGGCACCUCGGUGCAAGUCGAGGGUAUGGUAACAACCCAUUGGCUAGGGACAAUCGGCAGCCAAGCCCUACCGGUCCACGUGGCCUAUGGGUGCAGUUCACAGACUAGAUGGCGGUGGGUUCCAAGCUGCGUGCAGCUUGGGGCUUAAGAUAUAGUCGGGCCGCUCCGUGAGGAGAGCCUGUGGGAGGAACCGGCGAUGUGCCGGGGAGAGCCCAUAGGGAGUGAGGUAGUAGUCGGUGCAGCGAUGCCCCUUGACGGCCUUGAGCCUCUCACUCGGACCAACCGGGAGCCUGUGGCUUAAUUUGACUCAACACGGGAAAACUUACCAGGUCCAGACAUAGUGAGGAUUGACAGAUUGAGAGCUCUUUCUUGAUUCUAUGGGUUUGAAUACCACUUGCCCAUCAGAGCGGUGCGAAAGCACUUUGCUAGUCGCCCUCUGGCCGCUUUGGCGAGGCCAGGGGAAGGCGAGACCGUCGAAUUGCGGGGAAAUCCUUAGAGCCCAGACUACCAAGCUAGCGUGGAAACACGCCUAGUGGCCGAGCUAACAGCCCUGGAUAUGGUAAAAACGUCUGGGAUUGGACAACCCGCAGCCAAGCUCCUAAGGGCGUAUGUGUGUAUGCCUAUGGAGAAGGUUCAGAGACUAGGUGGCGGUCGGUCCCUCUCUUUCUGAAGGGGGCUUAAGAUAUAGUCCGGCUCUGUCGAGAGACAGCCUCAGGAGGAACG